GGAUGUGAGGGUGAUCUGGCUGUGAGAUCUGUCACCUCAUUGAUUUCCAGGGUUGAUUUGGCUGAUCUGACUGUCAAGGCAGGUGUCCCCUUCCUCCCUCACCACUCCACAUGCAUCCCUCCUGAAGCUGCAUGCUCAGUCCAAAGAGGACAACUUUCCCUGAUACAGGAGGGCUGUUCUGUCAUGGGUACACAAGUCACUGUGCUCCCCUUCUAGAACCUCCAAACAAGUUCUCCAGGUCUGUUUUUAGGAGAACUUAAGGUAGUCAAGCUUCCAAGACUCCACAGACAUCCAAAUAAGGCACAGCAGGUGGCACUUUGACUUACUAU
rnacentral:snRNA from 1 species